rnacentral:rRNA from 1 species
CCCUUAGAUGUUCUGGGCCGCACGCGUGCUACACUGAGUAAUUCAAUGGGUAAGGGAACGCUAGAGCAUUACCUAAUCUUGAAAUUUGCUCGUGAUGGGGAUCGACGGUUGCAAUUUUCCGUCGUGAACGAGGAAUACCUUGUAGGCGCAUGUCAUCAUCAUGCGCCGAAUACGUCCCUGCCCUUCGUACACACCGCCCGUCGCUCCUACCGAUUGAGUGAUCCGGUGAGGCUCUGGGACCUGGACGGAAAGAGCGUUUCGCUUGUUCUGUUUGGGAAACUUGGUCGAACCUUAUCAUUUAGAGGAAGGAGAAGUCGUAACA